GGGAUUCUUGUCUGCUGGAGGCAUUGUGGAGGGAAGAAUCAGUGUAAGGAGGAGCGAGAUCCAGUAUUGUAAACUUGCUGAGAAAAUUGAAGCUAUGAGUUUCAAGCAUUAUCUACUCCUGGAGCGACAGGGGACUCAGUGCAUCUGUGUAUCAAAAGAGUACAGAACCCAUCUUUGUGGAAAGUCUACCAAAUAAAGUGUCAAAUGGAUGACAAACCCAGCAUUUUGCUGUUAAUGCCAGCUAUUCUGCUAAUGAUACCUACCCAAAACCGGAUGGCAAUGGGAAGAAGCACAUGUACCUGGCUCGAGUCCUUGUUGGACAGUAUUCCCAGGGGACACAAGGAGCAAUUACUCCAGCAGUAAAGAGUGUUGGCAACAGUGUGGAUCUGUUUGACAGUUCAACUGAUAAUGUGAACAAUCCAUCCAUGUUUAUUGUAUUUAAUGAUAUUCAAGCUUACCCGGAGUACCUCAUCACUUUCACUAGAUGAGCAUUUUGAUUGCAGCCAUGAUUGCAUGUCACUUAGCUUUUAUGUUAUAAAUCAGUCCUACAGAUCAACCAAGUAUGCAGUGAGAACUAUUUAUAGUUUUAUCAAAUUAAUUUCUAAAGGCCUGUUUAUGUUCAAGCAGCCUCUGGUUCUUUUUGAUGUCCUGAGCAUAGACUAAUGUUUUUCCUCUCAGAGUAAUAGCUGAAUGCAUUUAAGACAAGUUUAAUCUGGCAUGUGGUCUAACAGCAGUUUCCAGUAGACGUCCCACGCCUCCCCUAUUGUGAUCCUCCAUGCUGUGUUCUGGCCAUCCUAGCUGCAGCAGUGCUGGUGGGGGAGAGUGAGAGACAGAGUGCUUGGUCUCACGUUUCUGAAAGAGUGAGGAGCUGUCAUCAAUUAUGAUGCCGACUGUCAUUCACAGUUCUCAAUAAAUGAACUAUCUGUACUUAA